GGUGUGUGAGAGAGAUAGAGAAGUGUGCGCGCACCAGUGUCUAUUCCAUGUAUUCAGUGUGGGUUCUGUGGUUGCCAUGGCACUGUAAAGUAGCCUAGGCAGAAAGCUUUGUAGCAGAGGAAGUUCAGGGACUGUUCAGGGAAUGCUCCUGACCACUGCCGAGAUGUGGCUUUUCGUGUGCUUUUCAGCAGCUGUGGCAUCACCCAGGUGGGUGCUACAUUCAUGGCAAAGGAGGACCAGUACCAGAGGAGUGGAUCCAAUGGAGUGACUGACCAUUCAGAGAAGCAGGUGUAGUGCGCUGUUGAAGAAGCGCUCCGGGCCUAUUUUUAUCAGACUGUCUGUUUCUCAUUGGCUGUCCCGUCGAUGCCCUUUACACUGAACCUACAUUGCCUAUCAAAUACAAAUUGCCUCAACUUAAAACUAAGCAGAGAGACUUUUAAUCUCUAUUUACAUUUUGUUGUGUUUUUACUUUUUAUGCGCUAUGAGAUUUUGGAAAGCGUACAAACAGCUUUAAAAAAUGUAUGAAUUAUUAGAUCUGUAACCCGAGUAUGGCUAGUGUUGUAGCUUAGGUCUACUGUGUUCUUAAUAUUUUUUGAGCCAUUGCUUUAAGAGGACAAAAAUGGAAAUACAUUUUCAAACUUGUUUUGCAUAAUCGUAGAUGAUUUUAAAUUCGUUAUCCACUUGGGGUUGUAUUGUGUUUUAAAUGAUCAAAUCUAUCUAAAUGUA